AUGCUUCUGAAGAGUCCCAAACUGGGACGAAACAGCUGUCUAAUAU
rnacentral:hammerhead_ribozyme from 1 species